AGCGUAGACGGUGUGGCAAGUCUGAUGUGAAAGGCAUGGGCUCAACCUGUGGACUGCAUUGGAAACUGUUCAUCUAGAGUGCUGGAGAGGUAAGUGGAAUUCCUAGUGUAGCGGUGAAAUGCGUAGAUAUUAGGAGGAACACCAGUGGCGAAGGCGGCUUACUGGACAGUAACUGACGUUGAGGCUCGAAAGGCUGGGAGCAAACA
rnacentral:rRNA from 1 species